rnacentral:rRNA from 1 species
GUGGGGAAUAUUGGACAAUGGGCGAAAGCCUGAUCCAGCCAUGCCGCGUGAGUGAUGAAGGCCCUAGGGUUGUAAAGCUCUUUCACCGGUGAAGAUAAUGACGGUAACCGGAGAAGAAGCCCCGGCUAACUUCGUGCCAGCAGCCGCGGUAAUACGAAGGGGGCUAGCGUUGUUCGGAAUUACUGGGCGUAAAGCGCACGUAGGUGGACUAUUAAGUCAGGGGUGAAAUCCCGGGGCUCAACCCCGGAACUGCCUUUGAUACUGGUAGUCUCGAGUCCGGAAGAGGUGAGUGGAAUUCCGAGUGUAGAGGUGAAAUUCGUAGAUAUUCGGAGGAACACCAGUGGCGAAGGCGGCUCACUGGUCCUGUACUGACGCUGAGGUGCGAAAGCGUGGGGAGCAAACAGGAUUAGAAACCCCUGUAUCC